GCCUGGGUGGCUCAGUCGGUUGAGCGUCCGACUUCGACUCAGGUCAUGAUCUCACAGUUCGUGGGUUCGAGCCCUGCAUCAGGCU
rnacentral:tRNA from 1 species